GUGGGGAAUAUUGGACAAUGGGCGAAAGCCUGAUCCAGCCAUGCCGCGUGUGUGAAGAAGGUCUUCGGAUUGUAAAGCACUUUAAGUUGGGAGGAAGGGUAGUAACCUAAUACGUUGCUACUUUGACGUUACCGACAGAAUAAGCACCGGCUAACUUCGUGCCAGCAGCCGCGGUAAUACGAAGGGUGCAAGCGUUAAUCGGAAUUACUGGGCGUAAAGCGCGCGUAGGUGGUUCAGUAAGUUGGAAGUGAAAUCCCCGGGCUCAACCUGGGAACUGCUUUCAAAACUGCUGAGCUAGAGUACGGUAGAGGGUUGUGGAAUUUCCUGUGUAGCGGUGAAAUGCGUAGAUAUAGGAAGGAACACCAGUGGCGAAGGCGACCACCUGGACUGAUACUGACACUGAGGUGCGAAAGCGUGGGGAGCAAACAGGAUUAGAUACCCCGGUAGUCC
rnacentral:rRNA from 1 species